AGCGUAGACGGCAUGGCAAGUCUGAAGUGAAAGCCCGGGGCUCAACCCCGGGACUGCUUUGGAAACUGUCAGGCUAGAGUGCUGGAGAGGUAAGUGGAAUUCCUAGUGUAGCGGUGAAAUGCGUAGAUAUUAGGAGGAACACCAGUGGCGAAGGCGGCUUACUGGACAGUAACUGACGUUGAGGCUCGAAAGCGUGGGAGCAAACA
rnacentral:rRNA from 1 species